rnacentral:snRNA from 1 species
AGCUUUGCACAGUGACAGUAUCGGAGCCAAUGAGGUUUAUCUGAGGUGUGAUUAUUGCUAAUUGAAAACUUUUCCCAAUACCCUGCUGUGACGACUUGAAAUAUAGAAGCAUUGGCAAUGGUUGACAGUCUCUACGGAGA